CCUACGGGAGGCAGCAGUGGGGAAUAUUGCACAAUGGGGGGAAGCCUGAUGCAGCCAUGCCGCGUGGGUGAAGAAGCACUCCGGCGCGUAAAGCCCUGUCAGCAGGGGGGAAAAUGACAGUACCUGGACAAGAAGCACCGGAUAACUACGUACCAGCAGCCGCGGUAAUAUGUAGGGGGCAAGCGUUAUCCGGAUUUACCGGGUGUAAAGGGAGCGCAGGCGGCGUGGCAAGGCAGAUGUGAAAACCCGGGGCCCAACCCCGGGAGUGCAUUUGAAACUGGCAUGCUGGAGUGCCGGAGAGGUAAGCGGAAUUCCUAGUGUAGCGGUGAAAUGCGUAGAUAUUAGGCAGAACACCAGUGGCGGAGGCGGCUUACUGGACGGUAACUGACGCUGAGGCUCGAAAGCGUGGGGAGCAAACAGGAUUAGAUACCCUUGUAGUC
rnacentral:rRNA from 1 species